GUAGGGAAUAUUGGACAAUGGGCGAAAGCCUGAUCCAGCCAUGCCGCGUGAUAGAUGAAGGCCCUCUGGGUUGUAAAUAUCUUUUAUCUGGGAAGAAACUCCUCUAUUCUUAGAGGCCUGACGGUACCAGAGGAAUAAGCACCGGCUAACUCCGUGCCAGCAGCCGCGGUAAUACGGAGGGUGCAAGCGUUAUCCGGAUUCACCGGGUUUAAAGGGUGCGUAGGCGGGUUGAUAAGUCAGUGGUGAAAGCUCCGGGCUUAACUUGGAAACUGCCAUUGAUACUGUCAGUCUUGAAUGUCGUAGAGGUAAGCGGAAUGUUGCAUGUAGCGGUGAAAUGCUUAGAUAUGUUACAGAACACCAAUUGCGAAGGCAGCUUACUAUGCGAUAAUUGACGCUGAGGCACGAAAGCGUGGGGAGCAAACAGGAUUAGAAACCCUGGUAGUCC
rnacentral:rRNA from 1 species